AGCGUAGACGGCUGUGUAAGUCUGAAGUGAAAGCCCGGGGCUCAACCCCGGGACUGCUUUGGAAACUAUGCAGCUAGAGUGUCGGAGAGGUAAGUGGAACUCCCAGUGUAGCGGUGAAAUGCGUAGAUAUUGGGAGGAACACCAGUGGCGAAGGCGGCUUACUGGACGAUGACUGACGUUGAGGCUCGAAAGCGUAGGGGGGCAAACA
rnacentral:rRNA from 1 species